rnacentral:rRNA from 1 species
CUCCCGACUGUUUACCAAAAACACAGCACUCUGCUAACUCGUAAGAGGAUGUAUAGGGUGUGACGCCUGCCCGGUGCUCGAAGGUUAAUUGAUGGGGUUAGCAUUAGCGAAGCUCUUGAUCGAAGCCCGAGUAAACGGCGGCCGUAACUAUAACGGUCCUAAGGUAGCGAAAUUCCUUGUCGGUUAAAUACCGACCUGCAUGAAUGGCGUAACGAGAUGGGAGCUGUCUCAAAGAGGGAUCCAGUGAAAUUGUAGUGGAGGUGAAAAUUCCUCCUACCCGCGGCAAGACGGAAAGACCCCGUGGACCUUUACUACAGCUUGACACUGCUACUUGGAUAAGAAUGUGCAGGAUAGGUGGGAGGCUUUGAGUAUAUGACGCCAGUUGUAUAUGAGCCAUUGUUGAGAUACCACUCU